UGGGGAAUAUUGCACAAUGGGCGCAAGCCUGAUGCAGCCAUGCCGCGUGUAUGAAGAAGGCCUUCGGGUCGUAAAGUACUUUCAGCGGGGAGGAAGGGAGUAAAGUUAAUACCUUUGCUCAUUGACGUUACCCGCAGAAGAAGCACCGGCUAACUCCGUGCCAGCAGCCGCGGUAAUACGGAGGGUGCAAGCGUUAAUCGGAAUUACUGGGCGUAAAGCGCACGCAGGCGGUUUGUUAAGUCAGAUGUGAAAUCCCCGGGCUCAACCUGGGAACUGCAUCUGAUACUGGCAAGCUUGAGUCUCGUAGAGGGGGGUAGAAUUCCAGGUGUAGCGGUGAAAUGCGUAGAGAUCUGGAGGAAUACCGGUGGCGAAUGCGGCCCCCUGGACGAAGACUGACGCUCAGGUGCGAAAGCGUGGGGAGCAAACAGG
rnacentral:rRNA from 1 species